rnacentral:rRNA from 1 species
UACGGGAGGCAGCAGUGAGGAAUAUUGGUCAAUGGGCGGAAGCCUGAACCAGCCAUGCCGCGUGAAGGAAUAAGGCCCUAUGGGUCGUAAACUUCUUUUGUGGUGGAGCAAUAAGGUGUACGCGUACACCGAUGAGAGUACAUCACGAAUAAGCAUCGGCUAACUCCGUGCCAGCAGCCGCGGUAUA